GUGGUAUUUGGUUACACAUCCAGCCCAGCUAUUAGAUUGUUAUAGGCUAUUUGUUUCUCUAUUUUUGGUUGUGCUUCCUGAUUGACAGUAUAUGUUCUGCUGCAGGCUGUGUACAAGGAAACAGUAUGGUCGUAUCCCUUGGUGGUUAUCCUUGCAGGUGCUUAUGUAUUGAUCAAUCGAUUUUAGAUUAUUGUUGAUCGUGAUGGUUCAUGGACCUGAGUACCUGGCACUGACCCCCUUCCAUGUGAUGCAGCAGGCAUGAGCACGGGGACAAAAACUAAUUGCAGGCCAGGGAGGUUAGUAUAAGGCAAGCUGUUUAAAUUUCCAUGAUGCAACACCCAUCAAGUAUUCAGUUGGGAUUUCAAAACCGGGAUAACUAAAUACUGGGAGAUGAUAGACAAUUUUCCAGGUAACUCUUGUGAUUUUUGAAUGUAGGACCUGAAUAGUUGAUGUGUGUAGCAGAAGAAUGCAGAGCGACUAAUUAUUUGAGAUAAUUUUUUAACCUCAGAUAGGAUAAUGUGGGAUAUUAUUGGUUCAUCAUGUCUGCACUAAGAAGGCAAUGAACAUGAACCAAAUAAUUGAUCCGACUUAAUUUUGUUUGUUUGCUCUAUGUAUGGUAACACGUCUCUGUCAUGCUUAUUCUUAACUGCCACAUUUAUGGACAAGAACUCAUUAGUUAGUUUAGUUCCUCUUUUCUGUUCUACACUUAUAGCAUUAAGGGCAUCGUGCGAUAGUUAGCAGGUUCUUUUUGUGGUUGGUCAGGACAUCCUGCUACAUAGUUCGACCAUUUUAUUUAGUAUAAUUGAGAAACACGUCACUUGAUUUUUCUUUCAAGUUACAUUGAUGAGACAAUAGAUUGGCUAUAUAGUGUAAGUUUGUAGCAUGACUGUGAGGUCUAUUGCCCCCUAAAGUUUCAUAUAUUGCAUUACCUCAGUUCUUUUAAUGAUGUUUAGAUAGAUUGAUUUUCGUUCAUUCAUUAUGCAUUGCAAUGUUAACUUCCUCACUACCCAUUAAUUUCCAAUGUUCAUAUGUGAAGACAUGCUCAUAUGCACUUCUACGUCUCACAUGGUUAACCCUUUUUUGGAAUAGAAAGGCAGGAUGGAUAUUGUUUCAGUGUAGGUAUUCUUUAGUCUUCAGUGUCAAUUGCCCGACCCUUGAGCUCAUUAUCUCCCAUUCGUUCAAGACAACAAGAUAAAGAAAUAGCAUGUCAUGUGCAUCCAUUGAGAAUAGUUCUGAAUUAGCCUACUGAAAACUAUUGUAGUAUAUAGUUUGAGGAGGAACAAUGUAUUGUGAAAAUUAGUGAUUUUUCACUAAUAGGACGGUUACUAAUUUGGAGUGUAAUUUCACUCAUUUAUGUAGUAACUCUGAUCCUACUAUGCUGCUACAUGUGGUCUGGAACAAAAAAAAUUGUUAUGAAGCACAUGGAUUAUAGAGGUGGUAAUAAUGAAGUAUCCUUAUAAGGUGUUUGGUUCACACUUCUGUAACGUAGCGUCGUAGCCUAAGUUUUGAAUUGUUUUGCAGCUCUGCCUUGGUUGUUACUCACCUUCACUCCACUCUCCAUUAGCCAUGUCACAUUGGCUAGCGUUGUAGAGAGGUCGCCUAGAGAUGAUCUCAAAUUGCUCACAUGCCGGAACAUUGAUGAGAAAAAUCAACUGUGCUCCUCUAUCUACUGUCCGACACCUCCACCUUACAUAAUCCUAGGCCUCAUGCAAAAUGAAUGUAUGUUCUUGAGAUCCUGCCUAAAAUAUGGCAGAGGGACUUCAGAAAGGUUGCCCAUGUAUAAUACAGUAAAGCUGGCAUAUUCAGUGAUCAAGUGGUGGUAUAUUGAAUUAUAAUCUGACAUGUUAUCUUGA
rnacentral:lncRNA from 1 species